UUCCUUCCCCAAUCUUUUCCCUUCCCUCUAAUUCACUCAAGGAUUACCACCCAUAGGGAAUCUUUUGCUGAAGGCCUCUCUCAUCUGUCUCUGAACCCAGUAAGCUCCCUUUGCUUGUCUUCAUCCCAUGAGCUUCUGGAGAGAAGGGAACGUGGCUUUUUUGUAAACUCUCCCCAAGUGCGUAGAAGUUGCUGCAUAAACAUAUAUUAAUAACACUUUAGUGGGAGGCUUCCAUAGGGAGGAAGUUCCACUGGGGUAAAAACAUGGGACUUGAGGGAGAUUUUGUUAGUUUCAAUGACAUUGGUUAUCCCACUUUUUAUCCUUAGAAUUGCCCAGCCACAGGUGAGUCUGGUUUGCCUCUGAUCUGGUUUGUAGGUCACACUUGAAGUUCUGGGAUCUCUUUAAUGGGAGGGCUCAGGGUUGCCUUCAGGGAAGAAAGGAGCCUCCAGACAGUUGUAGGGCUUGGGAACCUGGAGUCAAGCAUUCUCUCAUCCCACGUUGGUCCCAAGAAAAACUCCUGAAGUCAGCCCUGCCAGCAAGGGAUGGCCGAGAGCUGCUCAGUGUGGAGUUUCUGGAGUAAUCAGGAUUACACAGGCAGCUGGGAGAUCAAAUUGGGAUUCCAGGAGCCAGUGGCCAGCAGCUCAACUUUGAAUUUCAGGAGGUCUGUUUCCCAGAUGUCCCUGGCCCUGGCCCCACCCACCAGGGAGCCUCGGAUACCCCAGCUCCCACAACCCCCCUUCCCUACUGAGACACUGUGGUCUUCAGCCAACACCCUCACUGCCUGUCUCCUCCUCCUACUCUGGACCUGGGCCAGUCCCUGCCCCUUUCCAGGCAUGGCACCUCCUUUCAGGCCUCCCCCAUCUUCACCUGGCCCCAUGCCAGCCAGUUAGCCACCAAGCCAACCACCUUUCUGGGGCCUGAGAUGGAGGGAGUCAGCUCUUCUGGGCCAACAUGAGCGCCGAGGGCUGAUGGCUGCAGAGGGGCAGAGGCAGCCCCAUCACCUCCCAGGAAUCUGAUCCUCCUGCCAGGUGGUUCCCAUUUCCUGGAGGCUGCAUGGUAAGCUGGUAUGAGGAGAAAGCCCCCUUUCCAGAAGAGGAAGGCACCCCAGUCCACAGGAAACAAAAAGCGGCAGGAGGGGCGUCUUCAGAGGAAUGUGAGAGCAGGGGCAGGCAUGGGGCAAAUAGAGAAGGACUGGUUUUGUUUCCUUUUUUAAAAAAUAAUUUUUUAAAUUUAUUUUUGGAUGUGCUGGGGCUUUGUUGUUGGGCUUUUCUCUAGUUGUGGUAAGUGGGUGCUACUCUUCAUUGCGGUGGCUUCUCUUGUUUCUGCUCUGCUGUGUGUGUUGACUGCUAAGUCCCUGAGCAGCCACCCUGGAUCCAGGGAAAGGGCCUCCUCUUGCUAGUUGCGGGUCAAGGCAAUGAGAAAAAUCCUGGAAACUGAGUCUAGGAGUCCACGUGUCCAGCAGUAUGUCAUACUCACCCAGAAGCUGUCCUUUCGGAGUAUGGCAGCCCUGGGUGCCCCUGUCUGCAGUCUUCAAUUUUGUCUUGUAGAUUCCAGGAGCCAGUGGCCAGCAGCUCAACUUUGAAUUUCAGGAGGUCUGUUUCCCAGAUGUCCCUGGCCCUGGCCCCACCCACCAGGAGCCUCGGAUACCCCAGCUCCCACAACCCCUUCCCUACUGAGACACUGUGGUCUUCAGCCAACACCCUCACUGCCUGUCUCCUCCUCCUACUCUGGACCUGGGCCAGUCCCUGCCCCUUUCCAGGCAUGGCACCUCCUUUCAGGCCUCCCCCAUCUUCACCUGGCCCCAUGCCAGCCAGUUAGCCACCAAGCCAACCACCUUUCUGGGGCCUGAGAUGGAGGGAGUCAGCUCUUCUGGGCCAACAUGAGCCGAGGGCUGAUGGCUGCAGAGGGGCAGAGGCAGCCCCAUCACCUCCCAGGAAUCUGAUCCUCCUGCCAGGUGGUUCCCAUUUCCUGGAGGCUGCAUGGUAAGCUGGUAUGAGGAGAAAGCCCCUUCCAGAAGAGGAAGGCACCCCAGUCCACAGGAAACAAAAAGCGGCAGGAGGGGCGUCUUCAGAGGAAUGUGAGAGCAGGGGCAGGCAUGGGGCAAAUAGAGAAGGACUGGUUUUGUUUCCUUUUUUAAAAAAUAAUUUUUUAAAUUUAUUUUUGGAUGUGCUGGGGCUUUGUUGUUGGGCUUUUCUCUAGUUGUGGUAAGUGGGUGCUACUCUUCAUUGCGGUGGCUUCUCUUGUUACUAAGCACAGGCUCUAGGGCACGCAGGCUUCCGUAGUUGCGACUCCUGAGCUCUAGACCACAGGCUCAAUAGUUGUGGCUCAGGGGCUUAGUUGCUCCUCAGCAUAUGGGAUCUUCCUGGCUCAGGGAUCAAACCUGUGUCUCCUGCAUUGGCGGGCAGAUUCUUUACCACUGAACCACCAGGGAAGCUCCAUGGCUUCGUUUCUCUGGGACCCAGUUUGAUGAAAGUACGAAUGUUUGUCUCUCAUAAGGGGUGGGAAACAAUAAAGAGGGCAGAAGUACAGAAAGAUCAUUCCCACCUCAUGGCUGGGGUGAUCAGUCCUGGUUACCACAAGCCCAGGUCUUCCUGAAGCUGUGGGGAUGUUAAGUGUGCGUUCCUUCGAGCAUAUUUGUUUAGAGCAGUCAGUGCCUUUCUUCUCCAGAAUUCCAAGACUGUUUGUUCAUCUAGGGUCUUUGAUCUGCACACCCCCCCACCCCCAGCCAGGGGUUAAUCAUUCCCAGCAUUGUGUACACAGACUUCUGAGACCAGAACUUCUUCCUCCUGUCAGUCCUUAUCUGAACAGCCCUGAGGAACUCCAGGACCUCUGGGGAUUGGCAUGUUUAAUUAGAUAAUUGCAAAUUCCUGGGCAUCUCUUCUGAGGCCUUCUCUACCUAAAGCCUCAAAAAUAUCCUUUCAGUUAAAUGCUAGCCCGGAGCCUUGCUGCUCAGAAAUAUACCUCCAUCAGCCACACGAGAGGGCAGGGAGAUGCCUGUUCUGUGCAACACUGUUUGGGGCAUUGCAUUCACUAUCCAAGGAGCCUGAGGCUCAGGCCCCAGAGGUAGAAAUGCUGUGUCACAGAUUACCUGAGGUCAAGAGGGAGGAGGGGUCAGGGAAAUAUGGGAAGAGUGAAAGGACUGGCAUGGGGGUCAGUGGGCAGCCUGAGGUAAGGCCCUGACCUCUGCCUUUGCUUGGUUCUCGUGCCAGAGAGCACCCAGCAGGUCAACCACAACCUCAUCUUCUUUCAGAGAAUAACCAGCUGGGUCUGCUCUCAAGGUGACCAGCAACUUGAGGGCAGCAGAGGUUUGGGGUGUUCAGGCUGGGGUGCCCAGAUGAGAGGGAGCUGAAUCCACUGAAACAUGCCCAUUGGAACAGAGACCCUGAGGAGGAAGUGGCUGUCCAUGGAGGCCUAUAAAGAGGACUCCAGAGAGUGAUGCUGGCCUGCUCCUCUGGACACCAGUGGGGCAAGAGGCCUGGACAGGCCCUGUUCGAGGAGCCCCCUGAGGUCAUUGUCUGACACUUGCCGGAGCCCCAGGCCCUCUGAGCCACCUUCUCAUUCCUGCUCUUGCUGGGGCCCGCCAGUGGCAGCAAGGGCCUGGCCAGUGAGGUGGGCCCGAUGUCUGAGCUCGGCCCUCUGACCGCUCUGUUGCUUUGGUCAUACCCAACCCAAGCAGACCAGAGAAGGCAAUGGCAACCCUCUCCAGUACUCUUGCCUGGAAAAUCCCAUGGAUGGAGGAGCCUGGUAGGCUGUAGUCCAUGGGAUCGCUAAGAGUCGGACACAACUGAAGUGACUUAGCAGCAGCAGCAGCAACUCAAGCAGAGAUGCUCUUGGUGGGCUGUCCAGUUGGGCCUUUAAACCAGGGAGUCUGGAGGCAGAUCCUUCAUGGCAGCAUUUGUUCAGGGGUCUCACCCGGGUGGUAUGUUGGCCUUGCCUCAGUGGGUGCACUCUGCUUGUUACCAGCAUCCUGGACCCUCCCUCUGCCUUUUAAAAUUGAGCACUUACUAUACUCAGAGCCCAAUGCCAUAUGCGUUAUCUUUUUGAAUCCUCACUGGGUAAGAUUUUUCCCAUGCUACAGGUAAGGAAACUGAGGCUCUCAGAGGCUUUCUAGGCUUUGGAGCACACUAUUAGUUUCUGUCUGGCUUACCCACUGCUUUAUAUUGCCUUCCACACGCUUCAGGAUUUCACACUGUAAUAUCCUUUGUAAGCACAAGAGAAACUCUUCCAAAUACUUGGAUCCAUAUCACUCUAGAAGCCAGGACAGAUGGGGUAUUUCCUUUCAUAGUUGAGCAGAUCAUUCUCCAAAGAAACAGAGCUGACUUUCUGGGCCCUUGUGGUCUCAGGACUGAGGCAGAUGGCUGGGCAGAGUCACUGGGCACCUCUCAGGAAGACCCUGGUCAUCUUUUCCUGCCCCUUCUCCUCCCUCAGCACCACCUC
ensembl:lncRNA